UAGAACGUGCCCUUCUUGGGGAUGCUACUA
rnacentral:piRNA from 1 species